CAUAGGUGUUUUGCUGUUCUUGCAGAGGCCCGCUCAAGGCCAAUGGAGCCGCCCCAGACAGAGGAGAAGCAUCUGGAGGAACCAGACCUGCACAAUCUAGAUGUUUUUCACUUGGCAGUGGAGCUAAGGAGUGCUCUCGUGAUAUUGGAGGAGCAGUUGUGUGUUUUUGUGAAAUCUCUCUCUAUCCAGUAUCUGCUGUGAUAGACCCAGGCCAGUUGGGAACAGCAGAGUAGUAGAAGGGAGAUAAACCUGCCACUGGAUAAGUAGUUUUCUGUUCCCUGAGUGACCAGAGCAGGGGCUGCUCCAGGCUAAUGAGAACACCUGACUCCAAUUAACCUGCUAAGAGUCAGGUGAGGCUGUUAAGCAUGUGACUCUAAUUAAGCAGUAGGUGUUUGGAAUCCCUCAUCUGUACUCUUCAGUUUUGCUCAGAGGCUGUGAAUUUCCUCGUUGAACACGGUGCUCUGUGGGUUUAGUACCAAGGGAAAAGAAGUGGAGGGUCAGAGUCUGCUCCCCUCAUGCGAUGGAAAGCAAGUAAGAGCGGGGAGACAGCGAACAUUACUGAUGCCAGGCAAGAGCCGUCCAGCUUGGAGCCGAGCAGCCGUCACCGUCAGUGAGAUAAGUGUCUUGUUAGAUGAGGGCUCUGCUCACUUCCCACUUGGCUUCAGGUACGGAUGCCCAGUUAGCUACGGCUUGGUGUGUAACAAAAUGAGCUGUGGAUAUGUGGGAGACAAGGUCCCCAUUUUCAGCAUCAGCUCAUUUCUCCGUUCACAAGCGGUGUGUCCUCUGCAGAAAAGUUUGGAUCCAGGAGGAUGAUUCCAGGUGGUGAGUUGCUUGCCUUCCUCCCGUGUUAAUCUCUCUCUCUCUCUCUUUUCUCUGUGUGUUGGCCAACACACUCUCUCUAAAUCUGUCCUUGCCUCAUUUUGCGUUGUCGUGCUUCAUGGCACAUGGGCAGGUGUGCUAGGUGUGCUCCCCACAGGCUUGGGUCUCGGGAGUAAUGAAGAAGUAGGAGGGGACAAAAAUUAUGUGGGGUAGAAGGGAUGAGAGUGGAUUGGAGACUGUCGGUUUUGAGUCGGUCUGUGUUCAUCAGGUGGGGCUGAUGUAAAUGGAAUGGGAGAGGGAGCAAGAGAUGAGGGCAAGAUUUCACACACCUUCACAACUGUGUAAUGCUGGAUCAUGCAUGGCUUUUGCAGCUGCGCUGGUACAGGAAUUGUCCAGGAACCCUACCCGGAGGAGAGACUCUCAGAAGUGAACCUGAUCUGCCUGAACAUCCUUCUAAGCAGACAUGAACAGUCCUCAGCUUUCUGCCUCCUGCAUAAAUGGCUGUGAGUAAGCAGGAAAAGUCAUGUGCCAGUCUACUGCCCUCAUGCGAUGGAAAGCGAGCGAGAGUGAUGAGACCGUGAGCAUGGUUGAUGCCACGCAAAAUCCGUCCAUCUGGCAGCAGAAGAGCCGUCAAUGUCAGUGAGAUAAGUGUCUGUUUUGGUGAGGACUCUGCUCAUGGCCCACGUUGAUGCUGGUAGGGAUGCCCCGUUAGCUAGGGCUGGGUUUGUAAGAAAAGGUUCCUGACUAGCUGUGGUUGUAAGAGAGACAAGGUUCCCAAUUUCAGGGGCUGAUGAUUCCUCUGGUCAGGAGCAGUGUGUCCUACGCAGCAGAAGGUAGCAUCUAGAGGAUGACUCCAGGUGUCGAGUUACUUGCCUUCCUCCCAUGUUUCUCUGUCUUCUCUAUUGUGUUGGCCAACACUCUCGCUCUUUCAUUCUCCUUUCCUUGCCUUUCCUGGUGCCGUCUCCCUACGUAGGACGCGGGAAAAGGGUGCUAGGUGUGCAUCCACACAGUCUACGUCUUUGGGACCCAUGAAGAAUUAGGAGGGUAUGAAAAUCAUGCAUAUUAGUGGGUGCCACAGUGGAGCAGUGUCUGUCAGUGUUGACUUGGUCUUUAAUCAUUUCGCCUGGGGCUGUUGUAGACCAAAUGAGAGAGGGAGGCAGAGAUUAGGCAAGAUUUCACAUACCUUCAGAGCUUUGUGUAAUGCUGACUCACCCUUGGCUUUUGCAACUGCACUGGCAGAGGAAUUGUCCAGGAGCGCUAUCUAGAGGAGAGACUCUCAAAAGUGGACCUGAACAUCUUUCUAAGCAGACAUGAACAGUCCUCAGCUUUCUGCCUCCUGCACAACUGGCUUACCAAGGGAAAAGAAGUCACGUAUCCGUCUACUGUCCUCAUGCGAAGGAAAGAGAGACCGACGAGACCGCGAUCAUUGUCGAAAUCAGGCAUUAGCUGUACAUCUGGGAGCGGAACAGUCACCGAUGUCAGUGAGAUAAAUGUCUGGUUUGGUGAGGGAUCUGCUCAUGGCCCACCUGGCUCCAGGUAGGGA